CACAACGACUCUCGGCAAUGGAUAUCUCGGCUCUCGCAUCGAKGAAGAACGUAGCGAAAUGCGAUACUUGGUGUGAAUUGCAGAAUCCCGUGAACCAUCGAGUCUUUGAACGCAAGUUGCGCCCGAAGCCUUUUGGCCGAGGGCACGUCUGCCUGGGCGUCACGCA
rnacentral:rRNA from 1 species